rnacentral:lncRNA from 10 species
AGACCGGCUGCAGCCGCGGCAGAGGAUCUUCAUGGCGGCCGCCUGAGAGGCGGAGGGCGGGCCCGGAGAAAACAGGGAAUGGGGAUAUUGAGCCCGAUCUGCUAGCAGAGGACUCACCGCUGCCUUGCUUUCCCACCCUGACCCACCAACCCCUCACCCGGAACCCGGGCUUGCCUUCUUUACGGGACGACCGGGCCGCACAGGCCGGAAUUAACCGGAGAAGAGGCUGGGCCGCCGCAGAGCCGGGAGGGGUGGUGGGAAGCCAGAGCUGACGAAGUUGGAAAGGACGUGUAGGCGACUAGGCCUGCGCCUCUUGGGGACACCUGAGGACGCCCGCUGGGCAGCUGGCUGAGGAGGGGCCGCCGGGAGGGCGCUCGAUAGCAGGCGUGUCAUUGGGACACUUAAGGCUGCUCUAGCUGUGGCCAGCUUAGAAACAAAGGUCCCGGCAGCGAGGAGAGCGCCCGCCCCAGGAUUUCCUCGAAGAGUGUGUCGUUCUCCCUCCCGGAGGAGCGCGGCCUUCCGUUCCCCGGAGGGCUCUGGAAAGGCCCUUUAACCGGGGUGCCGUCGGGCUCCAUCCUGCUGUGAAAGCGGGAGGAACUACGUUCCCCAGGCUUGAAAAUAAGCGUCCUGCUGGGUUGGCUGCGGCACUGCCAAAGCUAACCCGGCGGAGGUCCUUUGAUCCCGGGGCCACCGCCCGCUCCCACCACCACCUCGGCCUCGGGGAGAACCUGAGCAGGGCUCUCCCACUGAGGGCGUCCUCCCGACUGGGCAUGCACGUGAGGCCGGGGCUGGCUUCGGUCCUCUUCCCUGGGGUAGGAGGCUGGAGGAAACCGAUUUCUCUGCACCCUAAUCUUGCCCUGGCUCCUCCUGAGUGGGGUGAGGAAUCUGGUCGCUCUCCAAGGCUACAGCGACCGGAGUCCUUCAGGGGACACUGUGCAGUCAGCAGUACAACCUGUUGGAGAAAGAUGGCUGAAUCGAGGUGUCUUUCCCCUGUCAACUUUCACUCGGUCAAUCCAAUGUUGAGAAAGGGCUUUUUUUGUUUGUUUGUUAAUUAGUCGCCUAUUCUCACAGUCAUCAGUUUCUGCUUGGUGACUAGUAUUUCGAGCACACAAAUCAGAAGCGACCCUGUAAUUUGUUAAGCAAAGAGCAGAUUUUAUGUGAUUUUUCUACAGCAAGAAACGAUAAUUAAAAAGGUUUGGUAAAACAGGAAAAUACAAUUUAACUGCUGAAGUCAAAUAUAUGGGACUUUUCUGAUGCAUGAGACUAUCAGGCACCUCACUCUUAGGAUGUUCUUCUUGUUUGCCUCUUAAAAUAAUCGCACUACAUUAGUUCCCUAGGGCUGCCGUAACAUACCACAAAUUGGGUGACUUAAAACAACAAAUUAUUAUCUCACAAUUCUGGAGGCCAGAAGUUUGAAAUCAAGGUGUAGGCAGGGCUGUACUCCCUCUGAGGGCACUGGGGAGGGAUCUCGUCCAUGCCUCUCCUAGCUUCUGGUAGUUUCUUGGCAUAUGGUAGCGUAACUCCAAUCUGAACAUGGCUGUUCUCCCAGUGUGCUUGUGUGUUCAAAUUUCCCUUUUUAAUAAGAACAGCAGUCAUAACGGAUUAGGGGCGAACCAUCCUCCAGUAUGACCUCAUGGACGUUAAUUAUAUCUGCAAUGACCCUAUUUCCAAAUCAGGUCACAUUCUAAGGGACUAAGGGUUAGGACUUCUACAUAUGAAUAGGGCCAGCCUGGCCAACAUGACGAAACCCCAUCUCUAACUAAAAAUACAAAAAAUUAGCCAGGGCCAGGCACAGUGGCUCACGCCUGUAAUCCUAACACUUUGGGAGGCUCAGGAGGGCAGAUCACUUAAGUCAGGAGCUGGAGAUCAGCCUGGCCAACAUGGCAAAACCCUAUUUCUACUAAAAAAUAAAUAAAAUAAAUAAAUUAGCUGGGCAUGGUGGCACGUGUCUGUAAUCCCAGCUACUUGGGAGGCUGAGGCAGGAGAAUCGCUUGAACCCGGGAGGCGGAGGUUGCAGUGAGCUGAGAUUGCACCACUGCACUCCAGCCUGGGCCACAGAGCAAGACCCUGUCUCAAAAAAAAUAAAAAUAAAAAAAAAGAAUCCGGGAGGGGUACACAAUUCAACCCAUAAUACACCAAUGCAGACCCCACCCUCAGGGCCCCUCACUGCCCCCACAUCGGCCAUGUUACACAUUAAUUUUAUUACUCCUCCAGAAGACCAGCCUGGGCCUUUGCAUUGCUGCUCAUCAUUUUUUGUUCAUCUCUCCUUAACACUCAUUAAUCUCUUCCAGAUUGUCAAGUUAACUUGCUUUAUUUUUCCUACUUCCUUAUCUAAUUACAUAUUAUAAUAAUUUCAUGGAGUAUCUUCUAUCAUUUAUUUGGAUGUAAGCGUUGAAAUUAGCAAAAGCAGCUGAAGUGGCUUUCUCAUUUCCCAUCUGACACUAGUUAAAGUGCCUUUUUUGUUCUACUUCAAUCUACAAGCCAUCUCCUUAGCCUUCCUGCCAAUUAAAACCAAAGGAUUGUUCAGGCUUAGUGCAUAUACUGAGUCCUAAUGCACCGGUGUUGUAACCAUAGUGAGAACCAAUACUGAUUGUUAUAUGCAGAAGUGAAUUACUUCCAGACUGGUAUAUUGCCUACUCCUUGCACACACAAUGCCACCUCCCUUCCCCUCUCCUUUCUUGUUCUAUUAUAAGAAUAUAAUGUUUCUGUCUCAUAUCUUUACUUUCUUCCUUUAUGUCUUUAUUCAAAAGUUACCUGCAUGAUGUCUUCCCUAGUUAUCUUAUCUAAAAUUUCAACACUCCUUCCCAUUUCAUAUCCCCACUUCUAUACUUUAUUUUUUUUCCUUAGCAGUUAUCAAUAAGAUAAUAUAUAUUUUGCUUUUGGACUGUCUCCCACAUUUAAAUGUAAGUUCUCCUAGGGAAAUAAUUUUUGUCUGCUGUAUUUACCAUUAUAACCCCCGUGCCUAAAUAGUGCUAGCACAUAGCAAGUGCUUAAUAAAAAUUUGCUAGGUAUGGUGGCUCACACCUAUAAUUCCAGCACUUAGGGAGGCCGAGGAGGGAGGAUCACUUGAGGUCAGGAUUCUGAGAGCAGCCAGUACAAGAUAGCAACACCUUAUAUCUACAUCUCUUGACAUCCCUGAUGUCAAGAGACUCUUCCAAAAUCGAUCUACUAAUACCCAUACUGUAUGUUAGGCAAUGGUCAGGAUUUUAUCAGGCCUGCUACAAAACAAAGGAAGUUCUGGCCCAGUGCAAAGGUUUUCAACUUCAAUCUAGGAAAUGUCAUAUUUAUAAAGUAUCACGGAUUUAUUUGAAUAACAAUUUCUGUUGAAAAUUGGUUUAUGAUUACUAAAUAGCUGUUAUGGGGGAGUAUCAAGGAAAAUGUCUUUUAGAAAAGAUCAGAAGCAGUACAUUUUGGCAAGACUUAUAACUUACCUCAUUGAUGCAUGUAAGCUUAAAGAGGUUAGAAGGUGAUUUAAAUUCUUUAGAGGAAAUCUAUUGGGAGGGGCAACACAACAAGAAGUGGAAAGAGAGGAGAGAAUGUUCUUUAAAAGUAUAAUAGGGAACUGAUUGCCUCCUGUUCACCAUGAUGUUCUGAAUAUCAUUUAAGGGAAUUUCACUGGAGUAGUUAAUUGAACUUUGCGGUGAUAGAAAAUGAUUUGGCAGUGAACAGCCUUCUGCCUAAACUGUUUAUUUUUCAGAGACUUCAUUGGUGAGAUCAAGUUAGUCCAGGUUGAACAACUGAAAUGUCUUAACCUCAAUGUAACCUCUUUCUCCCCCGCUCUCCAUUUAUUUAAUAUUUUAGCCAUUUUCUAAAUGUUGUAAAAUCUAAAUUAUUUUCAUAGGCUGUCACCUCAAACUAAUGUCUACAUGUUUCAAGCAACAACAGACCUAGAUUACAUACAGUUUUUAGAUGGGAUAUACCACUUUAAAAUCAGUCAUGUAGUUAUUGAACAUUUCUUCUGAGCUCAGCACUGUGCUAGAUGCUAUAAAAGAACAGCUAUAAGGGCCAGGCGCGGUGGCUCAUGCCUGUAAUCCCAGCACUUUGGGAGGCCGAAGCGGGUGGAUUACGAGGUCAGGAGAUCGAGACCAUCCUGGCUAACAUGGUGAAACCCCGUCUCUACUAAAAAUACAAAAAUAAACCAGGCAUGGUGGCGGGCACCUGUAGUCCCAGCUACUCGGGAGGCUGAGGCAGGAGAAUGGCGUGAACCCGGGAGGCAGAGCUUGCAGUGAGCCGAGAUCGUGCCAGUGCAUUCCAGCCUGGGCGACAGAGCAAGACUUCGUCUCAAAAAAAAAAAAAAAAAAAAAAAGAAAUAGCUAUAAGUACAUAUCAUGCAAAACAAGAGAGUAAGAACAAUCUCUCUUAAAAGUCUCUUCCUACUAGUUAAAGAUAGCUGUAUAAGGAGAACAUACCUGAAGAAUGGAUAGAAUUUUUCCGAGAAAGGAUGGGAAGAAAAGAAUUUACUCCAAGACAGGGAAACAGCAUGUGGUAAGACACCUAUAGGCCAUAUUCAUAAGACCAUUAAAAAGGGUACAUAUUGGCCGGGUGCGGUUGCUCACACCUGUAAUCCCAGCACUUUGGGAGGCCGAGGCAGGCGGAUCACUUGAAGUCAGGAGUUCAAGACC